rnacentral:lncRNA from 1 species
GACCAUGUGGCAACAUCAGAAAGAAUUAGCAUGUUUAUGAUCUGAUGAUGAAGUAUCAAACAACUUUCAGAGGGUAGGUCGGUUAUAUACUGAUCUGAACCAACCUAAAAUGCCUAUCAAUCUAGUAUUAUGGUUGACCAAGUUGCCCACCAACCUACUUUCAGGGACAUCGAUUCUUUACCAAUCGAGGUUAGAUACAUUUUAAGAUAGUUACUCUCUAGCUGUGUUAAAAUCAGAUACAUUUUAAGACAAUUACUCUCUAGCUGUGUUACAGCUAUUCUCCACAUGGUUGAAUAACAACCCAUAAUCUCUCUACAGCUGGCCA